GACGAACGCUGGCGGCGUGCCUAAUACAUGCAAGUAGAACGCUGAAGGAGGAGCUUGCUCUUCUGGAUGAGUUGCGAACGGGUGAGUAACGCGUAGGUAACCUGCCUGGUAGCGGGGGAUAACUAUUGGAAACGAUAGCUAAUACCGCAUAACAGUAGAUGUUGCAUGACAUUUGCUUAAAAGGUGCAAUUGCACCACUACCAGAUGGACCUGCGUUGUAUUAGCUAGUUGGUGGGGUAACGGCUCACCAAGGCGACGAUACAUAGCCGACCUGAGAGGGGGCUCGGCCACCCUGGGACUGUGACACGGCCCAGACUCCUACGGGAGGCAGCAGUAGGGAAUCUUCGGCAAUGGACGGAAGUCUGACCGAGCAACGCCGCGUGAGUGAAGAAGGUUUUCGGAUCGUAAAGCUCUGUUGUAAGAGAAGAACGAGUGUGAGAGUGGAAAGUUCACACUGUGACGGUAUCUUACCAGAAAGGGACGGCUAACUACGUG
rnacentral:rRNA from 1 species